AGUAACACGUAAGGAACCUACCGAUAAGCGGGGGGAAACAUCCGGAAACGGGUGCUAAUACCGCAUAGGAAGUUUGUUCGCAUGAACAAACUUAGAAAGAUGGCUCUGCUAUCACUUAUCGAUGGCCUUGCGGUGCAUUAACUAGUUGGCGAGGUAACGGCUCACCAAGGUGAUGAUGCAUAGCCGACCUGAGAGGGUAAUCGGCCACAUUGGGACUGAGACACGGCCCAA
rnacentral:rRNA from 1 species